AAAGCGUGCGCAGGCGGUUAUGUAAGAUAGAUGUGAAAUCCCCGGGCUCAACCUGGGAACUGCAUUAGUGACUGCAUAGCUGGAGUACGGCAGAGGGGGAUGGAAUUCCGCGUGUAGCAGUGAAAUGCGUAGAUAUGCGGAGGAACACCGAUGGCGAAGGCAAUCCCCUGGGCCUGUACUGACGCUCAUGCACGAAAGCGUGGGGAGCAAACAGGAUUAGAUACCCCAGU
rnacentral:rRNA from 1 species